CAGAGGGAGGUUGAGGAGGGUUUGUAACCAGUGAGGGUGACCAGUGGUGAUUCAGGAGUGCUGUCACUGAGAUGCUGCAGGGUCACUGUGGGCAGCUGCCUGCCCUGGAAAGGGGAAUGCUGGUUGCACAGGAAAGCUACAGCAGGAAUGGUGGAACAUGGAUUGUAAGACUUGCUUGGUUCUAGCUCUCAGUAUUCAUCCAGAGAGACAGAAAACUGAAAUUGAUCCUCUUCCUCCACAAAGAAAAAGCAGUUCUCGGUGGUAUCCAUAUUUAUUUAUUUUUUCUCUCAGAAUAUGUGGUGCAGUUGAUCCCCAGAAGCUUCUCAAGGGCAAUUAAAGCAAGUCAUACUGUGGGAGCAUUUGUUGUGCUGAAUCUUGUAUUUCUCUUUCUACCCAGCUGAGUCAGAACAGCUGCUUAGCAAAGGAUCUGAAGAGGUUUCGGAAGCAGUUAGAAAGGGAAGCGGGAAACCCUGAGGCAAGAAACAGUGUCUUUAUUCUGAAGACCCUCAAAAUGCUUUCAGAGUACUAUUUGUUUGUGGAAGAAUUUUGCAAGAUCCCUGGCAUCACUUGGGUUAUGACACUGGUAAGUGUGUGCUCUCCCAAGGAAAGUGAGAGAUGAAUGGAUGCCUUCGUUCUUCAAACAGAGAGGAAAAUAUGCAGGAAACCCGCAGGAAGAAUUGGGCAGAGCAAGGUUACAUGGAGCAGCCAUGCUCCUGGCCAGGUUCCUGAACAACACGUACCACCAAAACACUGCUUCUUGUGUAAGAGUUUAUUUCAGCAGCCGAAAGUCAGCUCAGUUUAUUUGUAGAACCAAAGUUAAAACAGUGGUGAAGGUAUAAAGUGCAGAGUUCUGUGUGGAAGAACAGACUGUGCUCCCAGGGGUUAUGGCUGUGGGGUUAUGGCUGAGUUCAUGCUCUGGAAUCUUUCUGUUCAGCUGCAGGUGUGCAAGAAGUUGGAGGUGUGUGCAAGACAGGUGGCUAAUUUGGCUUCUGGUUAACGAGCAUUAGGGCAGCCCCAAAGAUGGAGCUGUGAAAGCAUCUGUUUGGAUUUAGGGAAAUCCUGUUGUGUUAGAUGUCAAGUCUAGUGUAAACUUACAGGGUGGAAUUCCAUCCUGAGAAUGUGAGGAGGUUAUGGAAGACUAUCACAGAAGCCCGGAAUGGUUUGGGUUGGAGGGGAUCUUAAAGUUCAUCUCAUUCUAUCCCCCUGCCAUGGGCAGAGACAACUUUCACUAGGCCGGGUUGCUCAAAGCCCAGUCCAAUCUGUCCUUGAACACUUUCAGGGAGGGAUAUCCAUACCAGUCUGGAGCACAAGCUGAAGUGGAUUUGGUUAGCGUGAACUUCUCUCUCCCCUGCAGGCAGAGAAGGGCAGCCUUAUGCUCUGAGUCAUGUUUGUCCUCCUAAACCUGGAGCUGUGUUGAACACUACAGCUUUCACUUCAGCAAGUGAUCUGGGGAUUAAGGAAAAAUUGUGUUACCUUUAGAAAUUCUGACAAUACCAUGUGACACUGCCCGUGCCAGAGGAUUCAAGCCAUUUAACAUCUCAAGUGUUGUGCUGUGGUGCAUAGUUAAAAAGACACCCCUGUGAGUGAGCAGUCCCUCUGUUUUAUGCAGCAGGUCUGGUGAGGAGGCUGGGACAGGAUUUGUCUUACCCUUGUGAGAAGUGACUGGGAGGUUGGCAAGUCACAAGGUGGGGGAAUGUUCCUGAAAACUGAAAUGUAUAAUUGAUUGAAGAAGGCCAGAUGUUCCUCUCACAAACGUGGCAGCACAAAAAGCUGCACCUGACUGAUCCUGGGCAUGGAGGGGGACGUGCUGCCUGCAGGCUAUUCCUGGCUGCUUGCUGUGGGAUCUCUGGGAGGUGCAGCAGUGCACCAUCAGUACCAAUAAACCUCCCCCCAGAGAAGUUUGGCUGCCAGCAAUGAACCUCACCAAGUCCCUGGUGCACUGACUGAGAUGCAGGUCAGGAACUGAGGAUACUUAACAACAAGAUGCCCCUUUAAAACAGAAUUUGACUCAGUUAAGUUUGUUUGUUUGCUUGUUUGUUUUUUAACACAGAUUUUCUCCCUGGUUAAGUGAAAAAUAUUUAUCAUAAAAUGCAACUGAAAUUCUUGGAAAUUUAUCUGCUACAUUUGCAACCCAAGUAUUGCAGCAGCAGGAACCCGAGAAUGCAAUGGAUUUGUCAUUACAAGAGUUGAGAGAAACAGAGAUGGCAAAUAGCACUACAAAAAUGACAAGCAAAAAUAUGAUUAUUAUUCUUUCAGCCUUAGUCAUGUAAAGAGCAAGCAGAACCAUAGUAAGGCAAUUUCCCUUAGAUGUGACUUAUGUUGAAGGUGAUCUUCUAUGAAAUGCCUCUAAUUUAACUCUUCCUUCUUACAAGACAUGGUCACUGGUAUUACUUGUUACAGCACCGUGUCCUGUCAGCUUCAGCCCAAUAUUUCAAAUGGUGCCACUGGAGACAGUUUUAUUUCAAAUGAACAAAUAAAUUCAGCUCAGUUCUGGUCUGGGAUA